UACGUAGGUGACAAGCGUUGUCCGGAUUUACUGGGCGUAAAGAGCGCGCAGGCGGUCGAUCAAGUCGAGUGUGAAAGCCCCCGGCUCAACUGGGGAGGGUCAUUCGAUACUGAUCGACUCGAAGGCAGGAGAGGGUAGUGGAAUUCCCGGUGUAGUGGUGAAAUGCGUAGAUAUCGGGAAGAACACCGGUGGCGAAGGCGGCGCUCUGGACCGAGACUGACGCUGAGGCGCGAAAGCGUGGGGAGCAAACAGG
rnacentral:rRNA from 1 species